UAUGUACGAGCUGAUGUAGAAUU
rnacentral:piRNA from 1 species